UAUAUAUGUGUGUGUGUGUGUGUGUGUGUGUGUGUAUGUGUAUGUGUGUGUGUGUGUGUGUGUGUUGCAUAUUUUUCACCUAAUGACUUAAAAAUAACUGAAGCCAACGAUUAUAAUUUUUAAUCCUCUUGAGAGUGCUCAUCGUUACAUGAUAUAAUUUGGAUACUUUGUGAGGUGAGCCAGAAAUUACAAGGAUAUACUACUUCAAUAAUAUUUUUACAGAGCAGUUUCCGUCUUUCUCUUUAUUAUUGAUUUCAUUGAUCUUGUUCAGAAAAUUCUCUUUUUUUUUUUUUUUUUUUUUCAUUUAAUGUUAUAUUGGUGCCUGAUUAGUAUUCAAGAAACGAAGAGAAGAUAUAAAAUAGUUUUUUGAGAGGGUAAAAAAAAAAAAAAGAAAAGUGGAAGAAUUUUGAGAUGUUUUAAGUUAGAUGAAUAAAGAUAAGAUAAAUAUAGAAUUGUUGUGCCCUCCAUUUCGUGGAAAGUGUAUGCAUGUGUGCGUAUGUGUGUGUGUGUGUGUGUGUGUGUGUGUGUGUGUGUGUGUGUGUGUAUCUGUGUGGUGUGAGUGUGUGUGUGUGUGUAUCUG
rnacentral:lncRNA from 1 species